rnacentral:rRNA from 1 species
UACGGAGGGUGCGAGCGUUGUCCGGAAUCACUGGGCGUAAAGGGCGCGUAGGCGGCGCGGGGAGUCAACGGUGAAAGCUCGGCGCUCAACGCCGAGUCGGCCGUCGAUACUCCCGUGCUCGAGCACUGUAGAGGCAGGUGGAAUUCCGGGUGUAGCGGUGGAAUGCGUAGAGAUCCGGAAGAACACCGGUGGCGAAGGCGGCCUGCUGGGCAGUAGCUGACGCUGAGGCGCGACAGCGUGGGGAGCGAACAGG